GGUAUCGCCGUUAGUCAUGUGCAAAUAUGGAUAGCUGUUUUAGCCGUCUUUAUUGACUGGUUUAUAAGAGUUAUCAGAUAUCACUUUGAUUAAAUUAGAGUGCUUAAAGCAAGUGUGUUACUUGGAUAUAUAUGCAUGGAAUGAUGGAAUAUGUUGUUAUUCUAUUUGUUGGUUUUUGAAUGAUAAAAUGAUUGAAAGGAACUGUUGGGGGCAUUCGUAUUGUUGUGAGAGAGGUGAAAUUCUUAGACCACAGCAAGACGAACUACUGCGAAAGCAUUUGCCAAGAAUGUUUUCAUUGAUCAAGAACGAAAGUUAGAGGUUCGAAGGCGAUCAGAUACCGCCCUAGUUCUAACCAUAAACUAUGCCAACUAGCAAUUUGCUUUGUAUUUUUUAUGACUAAGUGAGAGGCCACGGGAAACCUAAGUAGGGUUAUGGGGGAAGUAUGGUUGCAAAGCUGAAACUUAAAGGAAUUGACGGAAGGGCACCACCAGGAGUGGAGCCUGCGGCUUAAUUUGACUCAACACGGGAAAACUUACCUGGUGCUGACACUAGAAGGAUUGACAGAUUGAUAGCUCUUUCUUGAUUUGGUGGAUGGUGGUGCAUGGCCGUUCUUAGUUGGUGGAGUGAUUUGUCUGGUUAAUUCCGAUAACGAACGAGACUCUAGCCUAUUAAAUAAUACACGGAAUUUUAUCUUCCGCGGUAUUUCUUAGUGGGAUCAAGCG
rnacentral:rRNA from 1 species